rnacentral:rRNA from 1 species
AUUGAACGCUGGCGGCAUGCCUUACACAUGCAAGUCGAACGGUAACAGGUUAAGCUGACGAGUGGCGAACGGGUGAGUAAUGUAUCGGAACGUGCCCAGUUGUGGGGGAUAACUGCUCGAAAGAGCAGCUAAUACCGCAUACGACCUGAGGGUGAAAGCGGGGGAUCGCAAGACCUCGCGCAAUUGGAGCGGCCGAUAUCAGAUUAGGUAGUUGGUGGGGUAAAGGCUCACCAAGCCGACGAUCUGUAGCUGGUCUGAGAGGACGACCAGCCACACUGGGACUGAGACACGGCCCAGACUCCUACGGGAGGCAGCAGUGGGGAAUUUUGGACAAUGGGCGCAAGCCUGAUCCAGCCAUGCCGCGUGCGGGAAGAAGGCCUUCGGGUUGUAAACCGCUUUUGUCAGGGAAGAAACGCUCUGGGUUAAUACCCUGGGGUAAUGACGGUACCUGAAGAAUAAGCACCGGUUAACUACGUGCCAGCAGCCGCGGUAA